rnacentral:rRNA from 1 species
AUGGCUGUCGUCAGCUCGUGUCGUGAGAUGUUGGGUUAAGUCCCGCAACGAGCGCAACCCACGUCUUUAGUUGCCAGCAUUCAGUUGGGCACUCUAGAGAGACCGCCGGUGAUARACCGGAGGAAGGUGUGGAUGACGUCAAGUCAUCAUGCCCCUUACAUCCUGGGCUACACACGUACUACAAUGCUACGGACAAAGGGCAGCAAACUCGCGAGAGCUAGCAAAUCCCAUAAACCGUGGCUCAGUUCAGAUCGUAGGCUGCAACUCGCCUACGUGAAGGAGGAAUCGCUAGUAAUCGCAGGUCAGCAUACUGCGGUGAAUACGUUCCCGGGCCUUGUACACACCGCCCGUCACACCAUGGAAGUUGGCCAUGCCCGAAGUCGUUACUCCAACCCGCAAGGGAGGAGGACGCCGAAGGUGGGGCUGAUGACUGGGGUGAAGUCGUAACAAGGUAGCCGUACCGGAAGGUGCGGCUGGAUCACCUCCUAAC